rnacentral:rRNA from 1 species
GAUGAACGCUGGCGGCGUGCCUAAUACAUGCAAGUCGAGCGAACGGACGAGAAGCUUGCUUCUCUGAUGUUAGCGGCGGACGGGUGAGUAACACGUGGAUAACCUACCUAUAAGACUGGGAUAACUUCGGGAAACCGGCGCUAAUCCCGGAUAAUAUUUUGAACCGCAUGGUUCAAAAGUGAAAGACGGUCUUGCUGUCACUUAUAGAUGGAUCCGCGCUGCAUUAGCUAGUUGGUAAGGUAACGGCUUACCAAGGCAACGCUGCAUAGCCGACCUGAGAGGGUGAUCGGCCACACUGGAACGUAGACACGGUCCAGACUCCUACGGGAGGCAGCAGUAGGGAAUCUUCCGCAAUGGGCGAAAGCCUGACGGAGCAACGCCGCGUGAGUGAUGAAGGUCUUCGGAUCGUAAAACUCUGUUAUUAGGGAAGAACAUAUGUGUAAGUAACUGUGCACAUCUUGACGGUACCUAAUCAGAAAGCCACGGCUAACUACGUG